AUUGAACGCUGGCGGCACGCUUAACACAUGCAAGUCGAACGGCAGCACGAAGGGGUAACUCUUUGGUGGCGAGUGGCGAACGGGUGAGUAACGCGUAGGGAUCUGCCUGUUAGAGGGGAUAAGCCGGGGAAACUCGGUCUAAUACCGCAUACGCUCUACGGAGGAAAGUAUGGGAUUUAAUUACCAUACGCUAACAGAUGAACCUGCGUUAGAUUAGCUAGUUGGUAGGGUAAAGGCCUACCAAGGCGACGAUCUAUAGCUGGUCUGAGAGGAUGACCAGCCACACUGGGACUGAGAUACGG
rnacentral:rRNA from 1 species